rnacentral:rRNA from 1 species
UACGUAGGGUCCGAGCGUUAAUCGGAAUUACUGGGCGUAAAGCGUGCGCAGGCGGUUUUGUAAGACAGAGGUGAAAUCCCCGGGCUCAACCUGGGAACUGCCUUUGUGACUGCAAAGCUCGAGUGCGGCAGAGGGGGAUGGAAUUCCGCGUGUAGCAGUGAAAUGCGUAGAUAUGCGGAGGAACACCGAUGGCGAAGGCAAUCCCCUGGGCCUGCACUGACGCUCAUGCACGAAAGCGUGGGGAGCAAACAGG